GAGCAUCUACUGCAUACCAGGCUCAUGCUGCCUUCUAAGGAUAAAAAAAAAAAAAAAAAAGGUUAGGGGAGGAGGUUCACCCCUCAGGGUAACUGUGUUCCCUGAGUAGGAGGUGGGGUUACUGGUGUGGCAUGAGGGUGUCUGUAAGUCUAAGAGAUGCACAGCACUGUAAAAAACCCUAAAUCAACCUAUUUAAGGAAGUCAGUCUCAAGGCUCCCAGAUAAAAAUCACUGAGUUUUUAUGUAUUUAUUUAUUUCAGAGACAGAGUCUCACUCUAUCACCCAGGCUGGAGUGCAAUGGAAAAUUCACAGCUCACUACAGCCUCAAACUCCUGGACUCAAGUGAUCCUCCUGCCUCAGCCUCCCGAGUAGCUGAGACUACAGGUGCACCACUCCGUCCAGCUUGACUUCUUUGAGUUUUAGUAGAGAAGAGGUCUCGCUGUGCUGCCCAGGCUGGUCUUGAACUCCUGGCCUCAAGCUAUCCUCCCGCUUCAGCUUCCCAAAGUGCUUGGAUUACAGGUGUGAGCCACCGUACCCGGUCAUUAAUUUAUUCAAUGACUAUUUUACUAGGUUCCUACAAAUAAUACCCACUAACAUUUAACAUGUGUUGACCAUUUACUGUGUCACAUAAACAACACGGGCACUAUAUUUGCCACCAUUUUAUAGGUUAGAGAGUUGGGGCACAGAGAGGUUGAAGAAUGGACUCAAAGUUCCAUAGACUGGUACCGUUGAGAUUAGAACUCAGGCAAGCCUGGUGCCCAUAUUCUUGCUCGUAACUGUGAGGUAUAUACCCUCUCAUCCUGGUAGCGUCUCUUCUAGGCAGAGAGGGCACGCAGAGAAUAAAUGUAACCCUGGCCUCAAGGAGCUCACAGCCAGGUUGGGGAGGCCGGAAAGAAGGCAGACAAUUGUCAUAACUUCUGAGAAGUGCAACAGUAAGGGCAACACAGAAUGAUGCUGGAGGGCAACCACUCCACUCCGGAAAGAAGAGAUCAGGGAGGGCUUCCUGUAGGAAGUGAUGCCUCAAAUGAGAUCUGACCAGUGACUAAGCUAUAUGAAAGGGUGGGGUGGGGAAGCAAGUGGGGAGUGCUCUGGGCAGAAGGAGCAGUCAUUCAGUCUGGCUAGGGUAAUCAUCAUUCAUUUAUUUAUUCACCAAGUAUUUAUUGGGCACCCACUGAAUGCCAGGCUUUGGACUAGGCCAUGCGAUGGAGCAAUGAAUAAGACAAUGAGGCCCAGCCACGAAAGAGCCUAUCCUCUAGUUGGGGGAGACAGGCAAUGCACACACACAAAACAAACAGAUCAGAAAAGUGGCAGGAGGUCAGGCGCGGUGUCUCAUGCCUGUAAUCCCAGCACUUUGGGAGGCCGAGGCGGGAGAGGCGGGGGGAGAUCACCUGAGGUCAGGAGUUUGAGAUCAGCCUGGCCAACUUGGUGAAAAUCCAUCUCUACUAAAAAUACAAAAUUUAGCCAGGCGUGGUGGCGGGCACCUAUAAUCCCAGCUACUUGGGAAGCUGAGGCGAGAGAAUUGCUUGAACCUAGAAGGCAGAGGUUGCAGUGAGCCGAGAUCUCGCCACUGCACUCCAGCCUGGGUGACAGCAAGAGCAAGGCUGUCUCAAAAAAAAAAAAA
ensembl:lncRNA